rnacentral:rRNA from 1 species
UACGUAGGGUGCGAGCGUUAAUCGGAAUUACUGGGCGUAAAGCGUGCGCAGGCGGUUUUGCAAGACAGAUGUGAAAUCCCCGGGCUCAACCUGGGAACUGCAUUUGUGACUGCAAGGCUAGAGUACGGCAGAGGGGGAUGGAAUUCCGCGUGUAGCAGUGAAAUGCGUAGAUAUGCGGAGGAACACCAAUGGCGAAGGCAAUCCCCUGGGCCUGUACUGACGCUCAUGCACGAAAGCGUGGGGAGCAAACAGG